rnacentral:rRNA from 1 species
UAGGGAAUCUUCCGCAAUGGGCGAAAGCCUGACGGAGCAACGCCGCGUGAGUGAUGAAGGUCUUCGGAUCGUAAAACUCUGUUAUUAGGGAAGAACAAAUGUGUAAGUAACUAUGCACGUCUUGACGGUACCUAAUCAGAAAGCCACGGCUAACUACGUGCCAGCAGCCGCGGUAAUACGUAGGCGGCAAGCGUUAUCCGGAAUUAUUGGGCGUAAAGCGCGCGUAGGCGGUUUUUUAAGUCUGAUGUGAAAGCCCACGGCUCAACCGUGGAGGGUCAUUGGAAACUGGAAAACUUGAGUGCAGAAGAGGAAAGUGGAAUUCCAUGUGUAGCGGUGAAAUGCGCAGAGAUAUGGAGGAACACCAGUGGCGAAGGCGACUUUCUGGUCUGUAACUGACGCUGAUGUGCGAAAGCGUGGGGAUCAAACAGG